rnacentral:rRNA from 1 species
AAAUUGAAGAGUUUGAUCAUGGCUCAGAUUGAACGCUGGCGGCAGGCCUAACACAUGCAAGUCGAACGGUAACAGGAAGCAGCUUGCUGCUUCGCUGACGAGUGGCGGACGGGUGAGUAAUGUCUGGGAAGCUGCCUGAUGGAGGGGGAUAACUACUGGAAACGGUGGCUAAUACCGCAUAACGUCGCAAGACCAAAGAGGGGGACCUUC